rnacentral:rRNA from 1 species
ACUCUCGGCAACGGAUAUCUCGGCUCUCGCAUCGAUGAAGAACGUAGCGAAAUGCGAUACUUGGUGUGAAUUGCAGAAUCCCGUGAACCAUCGAGUCUUUGAACGCAAGUUGCGCCUGAGGCCGUUAGGCUAAAGGCACGUCUGCCUGGGCGUCACGCAUCGC